UAAUCCCUGCCGUGUACGCGGACCACAGCACAAUAACCCUACGACACUAUAGAUAAGGGAGCUUAGCUCUGAUGCCGGAUUGCAGACCUCCUCGCUUUUGCGGGACGAAGGGAGCGUGAACGCACCAGGCGGCACCCACCUGCUGAGGAAUGGUAGCAGGUUAUCUCGGCUGUAUACGGCAUGGCGGGGCAAAC
rnacentral:other from 1 species